ACGAGGUAGGCCGAGUGGUUAAGGCGAUGGACUGCUAAUCCAAGUGUGGGUUCGAAUCCCAUCCUUAAUU